CCCCUCUCAGGGUCGCACCUGGAGAGUUUCCAGGACUCUACCGGUCUCGACAACGGGAGGGAGAGUCAAGCAGAGGCAUUACCCGUUCCAUUCCUAGCUCGAGCAGUGACUAGCGAGUGGAAAGGCCAUCUGCUGCAAGU